CGCAAAACAUUCAAGAGGGGGCGUCACUAGCACUCCGAAACUUUAGGGCUUUAGUUUGGCGCAUUUUGCCAGUUUAGUGCUCGGAGCUUGUAAGAAGCCGAUAAAGAGUAUAAUUAAGUUCUCGAAGUGCACCACGGUAGCCCGUUGUGGUUUGUGUACGGAAAGAAUGAUCCCUGUAACUGGAAUCGUGUUUACUGUAGUUGCUGGUGUAACACUAGCGCUGCUUAUCUGGAACCAGGUUCAAACGCAGCGGCAGCGGCAGUCCGGAUAUCGAGCCCAACGUGCGUGGGCCCCGCGUAGUACCCAGAGACCCGCACGACCUCGUAUCGGGUCUGGCAGCGCCCCGGGACCAUCGCGUCGAAACUGGGACAGCGGAGAUAAUCCGUGCUCCAUUUGCCUGGACGAGCUCGACGGCACCCACACCCAGGUGACCAACUCUUGCGGUCACACGUUUCACUCGGACUGUCUACUAGACUGGUACGAGAACAAAGACACCUGUCCCAUCUGCCGAGCUUCUAUACUGCCAAAAAUGAUUUUCCAUUGAUAAGGGGAAGUGAUAAUCGCCGCCUAUCUUUUUGUCGUCUCUUCUCUCUGCCCCGUUCCCUGUGCUAGUCUGUCUUGCAAGAUAAACACCAACACACCCGGUUUUUUUAACUUUGAUAGGGGCUGCGACCUUUUUUUCUUUUUUACAAACUGCUUUCCAACUUCCAGUACUGAUAUACUUCACCCCCCUGUGUGUCAAUACCCCCAUGGUACUUCCACCAUGGACUGUGUUUCAAAAGGAAAGACUCUGCUACACGUCAACUGUGACCAGUUCAGCAGUUGAACAGCCAAUCUAAUCAAGUGAGGUCAUCAGUGGUCGGCUAUAUGCGCCCUCUUUUUGGCUUCACACCGCGGCGUUCCACAAGCACACUUUCCAGGAACUUCUGACCGAACUACCAUCAUAUCAAGGGAGCAACUUGUGCCUUAAUGUCAGCCUCGACGAAACGACUUUGCCACACAUGCUGGGUACAUGUACGUCCUGCAAUGCGGCAACGAUAAUGCAACAAUUACUUGGAGGUGUUCAUUGUGCUACGAAAACCAUUGGGCAGUAAAUAUGAUGACGUAAGGUAGCAAACGUCGUGAGGACAUCUACUUCAUGGACACUGCGGGUACAUGCCUCGAAUCUCAUGUACCCACUCUGCAGGUACAUAUUCCGACCAAGUCAUGAGCAUGGCAGCUCGGGAUGUGAGUGCGAUCUCAUAUACUAACGGGUGUCUUUAAUGAAGAGUGCACCUCCUGCAAAGAUACUUACUGGUUUGUCGUAGAAUUAGUGCCAGCGCGUCCGGAUACACAAACACGUUGCUUCUGCCAACACCAUUAUCGUCAACUUGUGCACGCUGUAGCUUGUAACGUUAACGUUCCUUUAAAUUUUAUUUCGUCUGAAUUACCGGUACAGUAUCAAACUCUUUCCCAACAUCCCGUGCUCAAGAAUGACGUACGGAUAGCUGACCCGUACACUUGGACUGACUCCUCGCCUGAUUUUCUUCAACUGCUUUCUGCAUAUGCUCAGAAUAAAUAUAUUUAUAA